AGCUCACCAAAGGGUUAGAGGAGUGCCAGAGUAGGAAGGAGUGUGUGACCUCAGAUGGAUUUCGUCUUGUGAGCCUAACACCUACAUGAAGAAGGCAAGUGAAAGCAGUUUUGUGCUUAUGGCAUAUUGACUUCAAUGGGGAAUUCUGCUUAAAACCUGAUGGCACAAAAGAUAACCCUGUAUUUUUAUGAAAGCAUUUUUAUUUCCACUGCCAGUCUUCAGGUAGCUCUUCAGAGAAGCUUUGGAAGAGGAAAAUGGUGGGCUUUCCAGGUUGCCAUCUGGUGUAUUGCGAACAGUCUCAGAGAGUAAGAGGCCAUCUGUUAAUACUUUUUCAGGAAGCUUUUUAUAGAGCAGUGAAGUGGCAAAUCUCAAAAACACGUUGUAAUGACUUACAAGAUCUUGGCACCAAGAUUUCAUUGGUGAUGUUUUGGAGCCUCCCUCUAUGGAGCCAGUCCUGCUUCAAUAAAGAGUAAUAGCAAGAUCUUUUUCUCUUCAGUGGUUCAGAAUUUGAUGGUGGGAUAUCACAAAUACCAUCCAGCAUCGGCCUUGAUUGCAGUAAUGGAUGAAGAACUGCUUGUGCUGGAGGAUACCGAAUUAGCAAGGAGCACCAUGUGUUCUUGUGGAUGUGCAUGAGAGAUGAAUAGGAAGGAGAUGAAAACUUAUAUUUGACUGCCUGCAGGAUAAUUAUGUUAGCGAAUGAUAAUCCAGGACAUGGUUCAGCCAUGGAGACUGAAAUUCUGAAAUGGUGGGGCUCUUCUUGCUCCUGGUGUGCUACAAGGAACUGUGUUGCCUGCUGUGGUUAUGAACCAAAGUUCUGCUCCAAAUCAGGCCGUUGGAUAUGCCUGGGGUGUGGGUACCACUCAAAUAGCCUCAAGAAAUUCACAUUUCAAUGUGGAAAAAAUGCUGGACUUGUUGGCUGUCCCAAAUCCAGGUGAAGAGCUCUGCAGAAAUUACCUGGGGACGGAAUAUGGCACUUUUGCCAAAUUAUGAGGACUCGGCCAGGAGAUUGUGCCAUCCUGGGUGGAUAGAGGAUGGGGGAAGAGCAUGAUGCCGUCCAUAACCAUUACUUACUGGCAGGAGGAGGAGCUGGCCCUGCAUUAUACUUAAAAUGCAGUUUGAUGCCUGGUGAUGGGUCAGUGGUGACUAUACUGCUCAGAUAAAUGCAGGAAAGGAAGGACUGCCCAUCUGAGCUGACCAUGUGGGAGAUGUGAGGCCCGGCAGUGCGAAUAUUCAGAGAACCUAGCCACUUUCAGGCUGCAACUUUGAGCCUGCUCUGUGCCAAGCAUCAGGAGUGACUUUUUGUCUUCAAAGCUGGAGAGACAUUUCCCACCAGUGCAGAUGAAGGUGCCUCUUCCCUCCAAGGCCUUAGAAGAGCAGAGGGCAGACAGUGAGCUAAGUUCUGUUCUCACUCCUGAAGGUAAAAAGCUGCUGGUUUUUGUCUAUCUGCACAUGUUCCUUAAAAUCUCAUCUUGAGGGAUCUGAUCUGAAGUACCUGAGUAAAUGGUAGAUAGGCACCACGGAAAGGAGCUCAAGGGCAGCUGCAGGAAGCCAUAGGUGUGAAUACAAACGAGGAGAAAAAAGAAGGACAGUCUAUCUUAAAGUGUCAGAAGCUCUACAGGACUUCCUAUAAAGAAAAUACAUGCUCACCAUCCUCAUUUUUUUCUUUGUAGCUCUUGUUUCCACCUUGAUUUGGCCAAGUAGAGGUUUAUUUCCGAAGUAGCUGUACAGCUAUUCCCUUGUUCCUUCCCUCUGCCUGAGUCCUGCUGCCUGUGGACAGUGUGGUUGUUGGCACGUCUGAAAUGCUUCGUUCAUGCCUCUUCCCGCAAGGAACACUCAGAGCAAUAUCACUCUGUGGCCAUGUGGGUUAAAUUUGGAACAUCACGACAUGUGCCCUUAUUUUAGUUUCCAGACAGGCUGUGCAGGUACUAUAUGUACUUCUGAGAUGCAAGCCUAUAAAGAGAAUGCACCAGAAGCUACUAACCCUUGAUCAUCUGUAAAUAAGGAAAACUAUACUGUGCCUUUUUUAUUUUUUAGUAUAUAUAUUCUUUUGGGGAGAAGUUUAUCUAUAAAUUGAGAGCAUAUGGGGUGUUUGCCACACUACAGAUACACCUAGCAGUUUUGUUGUGAUGGAGCAUAGAUUGUAGCAUGACUUCUGAAGAGGCUGCUCUUUAAAGAGGUAAAAUACAAAACAACAGGCACAUCCAUAUAACAGAUCAUCAUUUAAGGUAACACAUUCUGCCUGACAUGUAGAGCUUUGCACAUUUUGAAUUGUCUCCUGCCAAAAUAUUCAGGCCUGCAGGGGGAACCCCUGUUGGGAACACAGGACAGAUGGAUCUGAAUCCAGUCAUGAAACUCCCCGGGGCCAGCAGUGUGAUGUUAAUGAUCACACCACAGUAAGAUGUAAAACAUACCUUUGUGCAGCUCAGUGUAAACAGCAACUCCGGUAUUAUGAUGUAAAUGAGAAACCAGCAAGGGAUGAUGUGUGAAUGGAAACACAGCAAGGUGCUCUGUGAGGGAGCAGAAAGUACAGUGCAAGGGGAAAAUCUGCACAUUGCAACUGGAGGUGGAAUUAAAAUGUGGACGCGCUUCGUUGUAGAGAUAAACUUUAAAUACUGCCUGGGCUGGUGGAUAAGGGAGGGAACUCAGAGUAUCUCUAUGAGUACCUAAUCCCAGCUGAGAUUCUGGAAGGGCAAAGGACAGGUUUCAAUUAAGUUUAGGUUCCUGCACUUGCCAAUUAAGAGCUGGAGGAUGGGGCUGGGGCCAAAGGAAAGAUAAAAACCAUGAAUUAGCCUUAUCCCAACAAACUGUGGAAGCCCUCCUGCUCAAAGCGGGGCCAACUAUGAAGUUAGGCGGUGUUGUUUAGGACUUUGACCAGCUGAUUCUCAGGUGUUUCCACGGAUGGAUCUACCCCUCUGGGAGGCUUGUUCCCAGCUUUGGCCACCUCCAUUGGGAAAACGUUUCCUGUAGCAUUAAAUAAGUCUGAAGUGACUCCGUGGAUGACAGGGACGAAAGCUGGAAACUUGUCAACGAGCAAACAUUAACGGGGUUUGUGGGGAGGUAUCCAAAGGUACAAAACGUGCAGUUGGGUCCUCAGCUUUAUUUCAGAAGUCCCUGGUGCCCCUCUGAAGCCCCUGCCCAGUGAGGACAGUGGCAGCUUGCCAGUGAGACAGGGUUUCCAUUGGGCCCUUGUAAAACGAGGCCCAGUCAGAAAGUGUGGUGUCACCAAUGUAAUUUAAAAUGUGCUGGGCAGCAGGAGCGGAGCUGUGUCUGCUGCUGGUUUUAUUGUAACGGUGAUGUUCCUCUUUGUCCCAGAGUUCCCCGUCCUCUUCCUCUCAUCUCUCGCAAUGAAGUGAAGGGCUUGCUGGGAAGCUGAGCUUGAAGCUAGAGGAGGUCAUACUUAACUAACCUCCUGGAGUUCUUUGAAGAUAUUACUGCCAGGCUAGAUAAGGGGAAUUCAGCAGUGUGCUUAGAGUUUCAAAGAGCGUUUCACAAAGUUCCACAUCAGAGAUUAAUAGCUAAGGCAAAAGGUAAAGGAAGAGGAGGUAAUAGAGGCUGUUGGAUCAAAACCAACUCAAGGGCAGGCAUGAGACAAUAAGCACAGAUGAAAAAUUUUCAAGCUGGCAGAAGGCUGUUCUUGGGACUGUUUCAGGACCUCUGUAACGCAUAAUCCAGACAACACAAAGGUGCCCCACCAUGCUUAUGUCGCUGAGGCAGCCCAGGUUUGGCACCACCAGCAGCAAAGCAUCCUAGCUAGCCCCCCUUCUGCCUGCCCAGCCUGAUCGGCCAGGAGCCCUUUUGCGCCUGCCUUGGGUGGGAGCAGUUUUUGGCACAAAUCUGCAGUCACUGGUGCCCCUGGGGCCAUGCCGUGCCAUCAGGCUUCAGAGAAGCCAGUGUAUAUGUUCUUUAGUCUUUGAAAAUAGUGAGCCUGCCCCUCAGCAGCAUGGUGCAGCUGUGAAGUUACUCUGGCUUUGCAAAGGGAAGAAUUUAGUCUGAGGUCUCUCCAAGACCAGGCACAACAUGGGCAGAUUCGCCAGUGCCAAGAUCUCCCUGGUGACUCUGCCAACAACUGGCAAGACGGAGUGCAGUGCAGACAAAUGUAAAGUAAUUAAUCUGCAGGCAGGGAAUCAGACAGGGGAAUAAGUGAUAAGCAGAGCAAGCAUUCAGCAGAGGGAAUGAGAGGGAUUUGUUGGUUUGGGGGGGGGUAAGUUUCUUUUGGAAAAAUCAUUGAAAGUGUCUGCCUAGAUCACAGCUGUAGUAAAAGGGCAAGCAGGUGACACGGCUGCGUUAGUAGAGGGACAGGAUAUAAAACAAAAGAGGCAAUAUGCCUGUUACUGUAAAAGGCAUCAGAUCUCACCUGAGUAUUGUCAGCAGUGUUGGCCACUGCCACGGUGUGCUGCAGCGUAAGGCAACAAAGAGCAGCCCUGCAGAAUCUGUGUGUGAACAAAGGCGAGAGCACCGGGUUUGUCCUCAGCAGGUUCCUGCCCACCCCGUCCAUUCAUCAUCUGAAGAGGAAAUCUGAGGAGCACAAAGACUAUCCCUCUAAGCUCUAACAAAGGAUUACAGUAAGCUUGUCAAUCAAUGCCCAGAGGCAGUCUACACAACACAUGUGCCAGCUUGAAAAUCAGAAGUAACAGCAGAGGAGGAAAGUGAGCACCAAAGAUCAGGAAUGAGUCACAGGAAAAACAACUUGGCUCCAUCAGAGAUUUCUUUGGCUUCCUGAGGUAUUCACCUGUCCGUCCAGGCAAGAGUCAUUUCUUCAUUGGCUCUGGUGUCUGACAGCUCAACCAACUGCUCUUGGAAGUGACCACCAUGAGAAUGAUGUCUUUGCUUGAAUCCUAUGGAAGCGGCUGGUAAAGAUGCGCUCUUUCUUGAGGGGUACGAGCAGAGGCGAUACCACUUUGUGUCAGUGUGCACCCUGCAGUCCUGGUCUCUGGAGCAGUGCAACGAGGUGUGCUCAGCACCACUGUGGGCACGCGGAGGGGAUUGGGGUCAGAUGGUCUCACCACUGAUCGCAGUGUUCUGCAGAUUAGGAAUGAUAACUGUCUCAUUUGCACGUGGAAAGGCACGGAGGUGGAUACUGCACACAGAUAAGUAGCUGGUGAUGGUGGUGGUUACAAGUGAUCAUGGACUGAAGACUGCUGCCAGAAAAUUUAGAGCUCUUUUUGGAAAAGGUGUCUUGAAGCACGGGGAUGGAAGAACAAUGGUGUGUACCAGCAGUUAAGAACAACCGCUUCUGCUCCUUUGCACUCUGUACAAAACGGCAGCAGCAGCCCCGCAGCAUGUCUACAUGCCGAAGGUCCAUGCCUGCUCCUGAGAGUUACCUGAUGAAUAACUCCAUUUUCCAGCUGCCUGGCUCCAGAAGAAAGUGAUCUCCUCCUAAGCAUCCGUUCCUCACCUUUCUGCAUGGCAGUUACCUGUGGGCUGACUCCUGAUGUUCCUCCUCAGGGCCAAAGGGAAGGACCAGCCCACGCAGCGUGGCACCUAUCCUGCAGCUUGGGGUGGCGGCUGGGCAGCAGAGUGCUCCGCAGAUUUGUUAGCACGGAGGUAGCUGGCUCCCUGGUAAUGUUUUGUACAUGCUGACCUCUGAACCAGAAACAAGACUCAAACCUCAGAGGAGGCUGGUGAUUAAUCAAAUCAGGGAUCAACUGUGACUCAACCUUCAGAUCACCAGCUGGGGUUGUGUCCAUGGAUGAUUAAAAGAGGGAAAUAUAUUUAGCUAUUUACAGCUGUAUCUCCCUCUGACUGAGGACAAGGAGCCACGGAUAAACAUAUUUAUGUUUGUUAGAUGUGCAAAUUGUGGUUUCUUUGAAGACCUCACAGUUUAUCAUAAAGCCUCAGAAAGCACAUGGCUGUUUAUUGACGCUAGAGGACUUCCUGAGACUAUGCUGUGGAAGUCACUGCUCAGAGUAUUUGACAUGGGCUAGCAUGUCCACGAGGGGAAUAAAGCCCAGGCGUAGCCAUCUGCACAUGAAAGACUAAAGGUGGCUUUAAGCAGUUCUCUGUAGGAGAUAAUUUUCUCUCUCCAAUUAGGUUACACUUUCUAGGUGUUGCACUUUCGAAGCCUACUGUGCUUCCAAGCCCAGCUCUCCUGCUAGUCAGGGGCGAACAGAACAUAUAAACUUCAUGUUGCUAAUAUAUUUCACAGUGCUGAGAGAUAUUAGCAAACUCCAAAUAGCUGUCAGGACCUCGAGGUAUUCUGGAACAUCCUUUGAUGCUACAAAGUAAUGCAUUUUCCAUAUUAUUCCUUUGAACACAUUAUAUAUGCAAAGUCUAGCACUUCUUAUAGGAGAGGUGGAAUUAUCAUACAAUACGAUUUUUUUUCUCUAGUCCUUUCAUGGCUCAUAACAUAUAAAAUUUCUUCUUAAAAUCCAGACUAGAAACUCAAACUUAAUUUAUACAGUAUUGAAAACAUUACAGGGCAUAAAUCAGUUCAAUUUUUAAAGUUCCUGUAUGAUAUUUUCAGAGCAGCCAAAUUCCUUCAUUCGCCUGGACUCCUUCCAAAAUUCUGCCAGCGCUCAUGGAAACCUAAAUAACUUUGGAGAAAAAGCAGGUUUUCUGUGGAGGCUCAGAUUACCCUGUCACCCUUCCUCUACUGCAGACAGGCCUCUGAUAAACAUGGAGAGCAGGGACAGGGAAAUUACUUCAUUACUUCGUGUCCUUUUCAAUUACAAACAUGAGGAGCCUGAUCCUCCUGCCAGCUCACGCCCCAGACCCCUGCAAAUUUGUGGCUUUCAAAAGCCAACGGUUGCAUUUCCUUGCCAGCAGGGAUAAGCAAUAGCAAGUGAGCAGGGGAGCUGCCUUGAAUCUUAUUUAUGAUGGUUGGUUAGAAAGUUCUGAAACUCGGCUCUAUUUAUUUAAAGCAUGAAUCCAGCUGAAAUGUGAGUCUGUGAACUAGAGAAGUGAUCGAAACAGGGCUGCACCUCUUUUUUUUUUUUUUUCUUUUUUCUUUUUCCUGAGAAUUAAUCACUCGGUGGUGGUGGUGUUACUGUAAUCUUCCUGUGAUUGCUUAACCUGGAAGCUGUACUUCCAGCUAUCUUCAUAAUAUUCUCCUGCUGGCAUCUUCAGAUUGAGUAUUUAUACCGUUCAUCGGUUUUCAAAGAACAUUAGGUUAAUGCAUUGUCUUUCUACUGGCUUAGCUUUGUGUUUUGCUUUAUGCCUAAAGAAACAAGUGCAUUUUCUUUGAUGUCAUUUUUUGAUUAUUGAUGAACUAAUAUUCAAAUAUAUAAAAAAAUAUGUUUAAGAUCUUAUUCUGAAACCUCCUUACUCCUACCAAAAAAAACAAAAACAAACAAACAAACAAAAAUCUGAAACAAACAAGACACACACACAGCACAUACAAAACAAACAAACAAACAAAGCCACAAACCAAUGGUUUCAGAGGAUUGUGUUAGAGCAGAAAAAAUAUGGCAGGAGCAAAUCUGAUUUUCUACUCUGAGUGUAAAUCUUUGAGGCUCGGCUUCGGCCCAGUGCUUUAGGUCUGUGUUAAAAGUCACUGAAACCAAAGCUGGUGUUUGAGUUAAGAUUCUGCAGUGUGGGCACAGGUACCUGCUACCUCGGGCUGGUCGGGUGUUGGUCUGUGACCUGAUCACCUCUGCGAUGCUGAUGGGGAUGUUGGCACUGGCUGGGCAGUGAGCACCUCCUCCAGCAACACAGAGCUGCAGGAGGCUGCAGAAAGUCCUUUCCAGCCACGCUUGGCUGCGAGGCAGAGGCCAAGGCAGUGCAGAGAGGGGAGGGAGAAGAGGGCAGCGAAAAAGGUGGGGGGUUCUUUAGCAUUUCGCAAUUCAGGUUUUGCUUUGAUAAGAAUCCAAAAAUUCAGGCAUUCUUGUGAAAUGAAUCUGCUGUGGGUGUGGGUAGAGCAAAGAGCUGAACACAUGGGAAGCCAGAGGCCAUCCAGAAGUUCUCACUACAUUUUUUUCCAGGUUUUACUUAUUUCUGACUUACACAUUGUUUGAACACUUCUGUUUAAGUCAGUGGGAAUUUUUCUAAGUGGAAUUAAAGUGUGGUCUGGGGGACUUGGUAGUUAGGUGGUGCACAGCAUCUUUUUUACGCUCUCAAGGCUUCAUCCUCUGGCUGGAACUCUCCUGAAUUCAGACACAAGGGUGUGUGCGGGUAUGUGCAUGUGUGCUUGCUUCUUGCUACUCUCUGCUACCUCUUGGGCCAUAAAUAUUGCAUGAACCACAACGGAGGCAUGUCUAGUGCUGGUAUCAGCCCAAAAGUGGAAGUACAUAAAACAAAAAAAUAUUGAGGAAAAGUUCACCAGACUUAGAAACUCCCAGCUGGCCAGGUCUGGUCUUUGGGAGCUGGCUGGAAUGGAUGAUCUAUACCUGAAAUAAUUUCUUAUACUCACUGACUCCCCAAGACAUGAUGCCAAAAUUCUUUUUUUUUUUUUUUUUUUCUUCAUAAUGGUAAGGACAUAAUGAUGCGGAUUUUUUUUAGUUAAUGGAAAAUUUGGAUGUAUUGUAAGGAUUUUUUUCCCUUUAAGAAGGCAAGCUGCUGAUGGGCCCCCAUUCUGUUUGCUGAUGUAUGGUAACGAAAGGCGUAUCACCCCAAGAAUGCUUAUUGCUGUGACGAAUCACAAAAAUGGAGAAAGACUCAGUGCCUGCUAAAUUUAGCUUGUGCAAAUCCAGUACAUCCAAAGCCCGUGGAGUGAAAUACUGUUUGGAGUAAAAUAUGAUUGAAACGUUUCUGGGUAUAUAACUCCACUGGCUAGUUUACCACCUGGACUUAGUUUUCAUAUUGUAGGAGAUGAAUUAAAUUUUUAUUAUUUUUAAAUUAUAUCCACAUCCCCCCCCCAGUAUCAGCUCUCUUGUCUUCCCACUGAAGCAAGCACUGUUAAGCUGCUAUAACUUUAAGAGCAUGAAAGCAAAUGUUGUAAAGAGGUCACUGUAAAGGUCACGCAGCAGGUUUGAUGUGUCAGUGGAUAAAUGAUGGGAUCACAUCUGGAACAGUUUGGUGAAUAAAUAAAAUGUGAAAGCUCAUAUAUCACUGCCCACCUUCCAAUCUGUAAGGGAAAGAGAAAAUAAAUUCUCUAAUAACCUUGUAAAGCACAUAAAAGAUAUUGAAUAAACUCUUGAAAUUUUGUGACUAAAA